rnacentral:rRNA from 1 species
AAAGAUUAAGCCAUGCAUGUAUAAGCACAAGCCUAAAAAUGGUGAAGCCGCGAAUAGCUCAUUACAACAGUCGUAGUUUAUUAGAAAGUACUCUAUGGAUAACUGUGGUAAUCCUAGAGCUAAUACAUGUUCCAAUCCUCGACUCACGGAGAGGUGCAUUUAUUAGAACAAAGCUGAUCAGACUAUGUCUGUCUCAGGUUGACUCUGAAUAACUUUGCUAAUCGCACAGUCUUUGUACUGGCGAUGUAUCUUUCAAAUGUCUGCCCUAUCAACUGUUGAUGGUAGAUUAUGCGCCUACCAUGGUUAUAACGGGUAACGGAGAAUCAGGGUUUGAUUCCGGAGAGGGAGCCUGAGAAACAGCUACCACAUCCAAGG